rnacentral:sRNA from 1 species
GCCGGGUGCAGUAACGUACACUUGUAAUCCCAAUGGCUUGGGAGGCUGAGGCAGGAGGAUCACAACAAGUUCAAAGCCAGUCUCAGCAACUUAGUAAGGCCCUAAGCAACUUAGUGAGACCCUGUCUCAA